UUUUAGUUGAUAAAGGUAAUUAAAAUUGCCACUGAAUCUGCCAGGUCUGUUUUUCAUCACACAACUUCUACAUUUAUUUGCCAUUUAUUUUUUUAAUUUGUUUUUGCAAACUUGAUGGUCCACUAAGAAAUCAAAUACAUGGUAUUUUCCAAAGGAAAAGUGAAAUAAGAACUUCUUCAGCUCAGGCAAAAUAAUCUAUUAGCAAUGCUGCUACUUCUCAUCAUGAACAUCGUGCUGUGUGUGGCAAUUUGCAAUAAUGCAGAAUAUGAAAUUAAUGGACAGUGUUGCCCAAUGUGUGAUCAAGACUUAUUUUCUAGGAAAGCGAGUUCAUAAACAUUGUGAUGAGUACACAAGCACAACAUGUGAUUCAUGUCAUGUGAACACCUACACUGAUGCCCCAAUGGACUGAUAGAAUGUCUGCCUUGUUCAUUAUGUGAUCCAAGUAAUAGGCUGAGAGUAAAGAAGGCAUGUACAUUAAAAUCAAAUACAGUUUGUGAACCUCUGCCAGGAUAUUACUGUAUAGACUUUUUCUCAAACUGUCAAAAGGCGAUUAAACAUUCAAACUGCUCACCUGGACAAUACAUCAACCAAACGGGAACAGAAUUCAGUGAUACAGUGUGUGAGGAAUGUCCUGCUGGUUCAUAUUCAGAUGGAAUACUCUGCAAAUUACAUACAAAGUGUGAAUCUCUUGGUAAAACUACAGUCAAGGCAGGAACUGAGACGACUGAUGCUGAGUGUAGUAAUGGAGAACCUUCUCAUGUACUGAUUCUGUCUGUGUGUGGAGUGUGUGCGUUGGUGUUUGUUAUAGGCUCAGUUUUAGUUAUUGUAAAGAAAAUAAAUACCCUGCACUGUCA